UACGUAGGGUGCGAGCGUUAAUCGGAAUUACUGGGCGUAAAGCGUGCGCAGGCGGUUAUAUAAGACAGAUGUGAAAUCCCCGGGCUCAACCUGGGACCUGCAUUUGUGACUGUAUAGCUAGAGUACGGUAGAGGGGGGUGGAAUUCCGCGUGUAGCAGUGAAAUGCGUAGAUAUGCGGAGGAACACCGAUGGCGAAGGCAAUCCCCUGGACCUGUACUGACGCUCAUGCACGAAAGCGUGGGGAGCAAACAGG
rnacentral:rRNA from 1 species